UGCUACAUCUACUUCACCCGUGUUGUCGUCUAUGCCCUCGUCACCAUUACCUCCUACCGAUACCUCUGGACCAGUAUCGUCGCCGGGGAGAUCGCCACCCUCGCCUUCUACAUCUUCACCGGCUAUAAGUUCCGGCCCGAGGUGCACAACCCCUACUUUGUGAUCGAUGAUGAGGAAGAGGAGGCUGCUGCCGAGGCUCUCAAGCUCGAUGAUGAGUUUGAGUUGUGAGGCGGAUGCUGGAAGCGUAGCAAGAAAUGGGCUUCGACCCUGUGUACAAUUGCCAGAACAAUUGGAAGAUAGAGGUGGG
rnacentral:lncRNA from 1 species